rnacentral:rRNA from 1 species
UACGUUGGGUGCGAGCGUUAAUCGGAAUUACUGGGCGUAAAGCGUGCGCAGGCGGUGAUGUAAGACAGAUGUGAAAUCCCCGGGCUCAACCUGGGAACUGCAUUUGUGACUGCAUCGCUGGAGUGCGGCAGAGGGGGAUGGAAUUCCGCGUGUAGCAGUGAAAUGCGUAGAUAUGCGGAGGAACACCGAUGGCGAAGGCAAUCCCCUGGGCCUGCACUGACGCUCAUGCACGAAAGCGUGGGGAGCAAACAGG